UUACGCUGUUCUCCCUAAGGUAAUUUAGUCUUAUAAUCAAUAAUAAUGGACCAUAAAAUUAUAUCAAUAAAUACUUACAAACCAAAAAGAGUUAUUAUUAUCUUUCAAUCACCCCAACCAAAUAAAUCAAUGCUUAACCAAAAAUUUCCAAACACUUAUAGACAAAACAUCAAUAUUCAAAUCUAUAGGGUCUUCUCGUCCCAUAAAAAUAUUUAAGCUUUUUCACCCAAAAAUUAAUUUCUAUACAUUAAAUUAAAGACAGAUUCUAUCUCGUCAAACCAUUCAUUCCAGUCCUCAAUAAAAAGACUAAUGAUUAUGCUACCUUUGCACGGUCAAAAUACCGCGGCCAUUCAAAACUCAUUGGGCAGGCAUUACCUCCUAUAUACAUAAGGAAGAGAUGUUUUUGUUAAACAGGCG
rnacentral:rRNA from 1 species